CGCGCGGGCGCAAAACAAAGGGCCAAACAUGCUCCGUCCGGCUCUGCCUCCGCCUUGGCGCGCGCCGGGCCCGGGUUACCUGCGCAGAACCAGUUGUGAUGUAAAAAAAUGUGACUCCUCGCAGGAAAGACAGGCCACCUGAAAAGAGCAAGACCCUGGAGGAUGCGAGACUAUGAAGGGAGAGAAAGGGGUCCAGCUGUCUCCCAGCCACCGCAGCUGAGGCACUGCGUGAAGCCAUCUUGCAUCCUUAGCUCUGUCGAGUCCCCCCCAGCAGGAACUAGCUGCAUCUGCCAAGUCUGCCCAAGUUGCAGAAUCGUGAGCAAAUAAAUGACUGUGUUUGUUUUAAGGCUUUAA